GGGCGGGCGUAUGGCGACCAGGCCUAGAAGGCCACGGGCGCCGUGGGUGCCUUAAGGGUCAAUCUUUUUGAUGCCCUUAAUCGCCAAAGCCAAGUGGGAAGGUCGGGGUCUCCCAUGAUCCACCUCUUGGGGUUAUAAUGGCGGUUGGCUAACCCUCUUUACAGAGAUGGCUACCGCUGAGGCACCGUGAAGAAGCAUUUCCAGGCCUGGAGAUGGUGAUCCAGGCCCCUGGAGAGAGAAAGGCGAGCAGGACAGAAUGGACAGAGGUCAUUUUCCAGGGAUGCUGAACCCUGCACAAGGUGGAAGUUACUGAGCAAGUGAGUUGGAUGAGUGGGGCUAAGUGCUGAGGCUGUUGUACGCCAGCAGCAUGGCUCAAGAGGGCCCUGCAGAUGAGCCAGGUGUUGGAGAAGCUGAGCAGCACAAAAGAUAACUGGAUGGCCUGGCCCAAGGACUUGGGAAACCCAGAAUGGACCUAGGCGCACAGUGUUGGACCUCUCCAGACAAGUCUGAUCCGCCAAACCGGCUGCGCCAAAAGGUGCUCAGUGGGAAGCCGACUCACCCUCUGGCUCUGCAGAGAGUGGCCCCACUGCGCAAGAACAGCUGGAGCCGAAAAGGAUGAACCUUAUGAGGUGAGAAGCUGGGUCCGGAGACCCCAGUCUCACCUCGGGGAGAAAAGAAGAGAUGCACCUACCUUCCCGAUCACUACGAACUUUCAACAGCUCCGCGCCUCAGCUUGCGUCUCAUCGCACUUCAUCCAACUCAGAUCUUACAUGGGAAAAGCAGGUGCAUCAACCAGAACAUCAUGGCUAGGGGGCGGCCAGAGACCACUAGAUCGUGGUAUUGGACUCCACAGGCUAAGAAAUUGGAGGUCCUCAGCCCGGGAAAACCUCAUGAAUUAGGUAAGUCCCGGAGGGGACGGAUCUCAGAUCCCUGUGGUGGGAAGUGGUAAGUUUUCAGGUUCCACCUGUGUGUGACCGCUGCAGCUGGGGUGGGGGUGGGGGGUUCGUUUAUCUUGCCUUGCUGUUAGUUAAAUAUGGAGGGGUUUUUUUGUUUGGUUUUUGUUUUGUUUUGUUUUGUUUGGCCAUAGAGACAAACAGAGCUGUGUUCCUGGAAUGCAUAAAGUCCCGGGAGGGUGGUUUUACAUGGGACACAUGUCACAGGUUGGGCUUUUGUUGUUGUUGUUGUUGUUGUUGUUUGUUUGUUUGUUUGUUUUUUAGUCCAUGUGAAGAAAUUCGAAGAAGAGGUUCUGCUGCCUCUCCAAACUCUGCUCCCCCAGGAUUCCUUCCUGGAGGUGGAAUUGUCAGUCAUGUCCUAAGCCAGUGCUAUCCAUAGGUCACUAACCCUCACACCCUCAGCACCAGACUGCAUUAAAGCUUCCAGAUGCUCUAAUUAAGGGCUGAGUAAGAGCUCAGCCACUGCUGGAUGGGUUGAGGAUUUUGUUUCUGUCCUUUGGCUGUGUCUGUACUGCAUCUUGUGGUCCAGGAGUUGGUAUGUUGUGAGCCCUGAAGUGCUAAAUGCUCUGGUAGAGAGGGUGGUUUAGCAAAGCUUGGAAACAGCUCAUGGCUGUUUCAGCUGUGCCUGCUGACUCUAGGGCACUGCCUGGGAUACCCUGCUCGGGGCUGCUGAAUUUUGAGACCUAAGAUCCCCUUUCCUGCCUGGUGGGGGAUGUCUGAGGGAUCUGACCACUCUCACAUGCCUACCCCAGUUUUUCAAUUAGCACAGCUCUGCCAGCGAGCCUUUGGUGCACAGAGACAUUGGUCAAGCUGAUUUUAAGGCACAUUGAGGGAGCGCUCCAGGCUGUGUGGGUGCUGGUAAAUGCCCUUUUGAUGGGAACUGAUGGCAGCUGUCAGCAGUGAGGCGGGUUAUAUGGGUUAUGGUUCUUUAACAUAUGGAGGGAAGUGCCUCAUUUUUCAGAUGGAGUGCUUUAUGCCUGUAACAGAGAUGGCAGCCCAAAGCCAAUUCACUAAUACCAAUACACUGAGAUUGCCUGCAUUAUUAAAAAAUAUGCAUUACAUAAUACAUAUUUUUGGACUAGGAUUCUGCAUUAGCAAUGCUCUUUCUUUGCAAAAUGCAUUUUAAUCAGUCAAUGGACAUUUAACAAAACACUGCAUUUUCAAGCCCUGGUUUUAGGUAUAGUUACAAAUUCAUUUCAGCAUGUGUUCAGCACCGAUUCCAGGAGGAACAGGGGCUGCGCUGAAGACAGUUCCAUCUUGCACUUAGUGCUGAGGUCGAGCAAAUGGAUCUGCACAGAAAAUGCUCUUUAAAAUGUAUUAUGUGUAUGACUUUAAAAAGUGCUUGCUGCAGAGUGAAUUUCAAAAGGGACCAAGUGGGUGAUGAACGUCCUCGGUUGUUAUCAGGCUAAGAACAAGGGCUUUGUCUGUGUCUGCUGGUAAAUAAAGUGUGUUCAUGUGUUAACCUGCAUGCUCUGCCAGAGGCAGGCUCCUAAACCAGCUGUACAAGAAAGCAGUUUCCAGCUCAUUAGAGUAUCAUACAGUGAGGUUUUAUUUAGAUGUGUGGUAAAGGGGAUUGUCCUUUGGAAGAGGCUUUAGAGUCCCUUUCCAUAGCUCCAGAGGGUGGUGUUUAUAGAAGGCUGCAGCCCGAGGAGGAAUAUUCUAGCAAUCAGGGCUCUGAAGUGGAAUGCGCUCCACAAAGGACAGA